rnacentral:rRNA from 1 species
AAUCAACGCUGGCGGCGUGCCUCAGACAUGCAAGUCGAACGAUUAAAGCUCUCUUCGGAGAGUGCAUAGAGUGGCGCACGGGUGAGUAACACGUAAGUAAUCUACCCUCGAGUGGGGAAUAACGUCCGGAAACGGACGCUAAUACCGCAUAAUGCAGCGGCACCGCAAGGUGACAGUUGUUAAAGAUUUAUCGCUUGAGGAGGAGCUUGCGGCAGAUUAGCUAGUUGGUAAGGUAAUGGCUUACCAAGGCUACGAUCUGUAACCGGUCUAAGAGGACGGUCGGUCACACUGACACUGAAUAACGGGUCAGACUCCUACGGGAGGCAGCAGUCGGGAAUUUGGGCAAUGGGCGAAAGCCUGACCCAGCAACGCCGCGUGAAGGAUGACGGCCUGGUGUAA